AUACGGAGGGUGCGAGCGUUAAUCGGAAUUACUGGGCGUAAAGCGUACGUAGGCGGUUGGUUAAGUUAGAUGUGAAAGCCCCGGGCUUAACCUGGGAACUGCAUUUAAAACUGACGAACUAGAGUUGAGUAGAGGGGAGUGGAAUUUCAGGUGUAGCGGUGAAAUGCGUAGAGAUCUGAAGGAACACCAGUGGCGAAGGCGACUCCCUGGACUCGAACUGACGCUGAGGUACGAAAGCGUGGGUAGCAAACAGGAUUAGAAACCCUAGUAGUCC
rnacentral:rRNA from 1 species